rnacentral:rRNA from 1 species
AACGAACGCUGGCGGCAUGCCUAAUACAUGCAAGUCGAACGAGAUCUUCGGAUCUAGUGGCGCACGGGUGCGUAACGCGUGGGAAUCUGCCCUUGGGUUCGGAAUAACAUCUGGAAACGGAUGCUAAUACCGGAUGAUGACGUAAGUCCAAAGAUUUAUCGCCCAAGGAUGAGCCCGCGUAGGAUUAGCUAGUUGGUGAGGUAAAGGCUCACCAAGGCUACGAUCCUUAGCUGGUCUGAGAGGAUGAUCAGCCACACUGGGACUGAGACACGGCCCAGACUCCUACGGGAGGCAGCAGUAGGGAAUAUUGGACAAUGGGGGCAACCCUGAUCCAGCAAUGCCGCGUGAGUGAUGAAGGCCUUAGGGUUGUAAAGCUCUUUUACCCGAGAUGAUAAUGACAGUAUCGGGAGAAUAAGCUCCGGCUAACUCCGUGCCAGCAGCCGCGGUAAUACGGAGGGAGCUAGCGUUGUUCGGAAUUACUGGGCGUAAAGCGCACGUAGGCGGUUAUUUAAGUCAGAGGUGAAAGCCCGGGGCUCAACCCCGGAACUGCCUUUGAGACUGGAUAACUUGAAUCCAGGAGAGGUGAGUGGAAUUCCGAGUGUAGAGGUGAAAUUCGUAGAUAUUCGGAAGAACACCAGUGGCGAAGGCGGCUCACUGGACUG